UGGUGGGUAGUUUGACUGGGGCGGUCUCCUCCUAAAGAGUAACGGAGGAGCACGAAGGUUGGCUAAUCCUGGUCGGACAUCAGGAGGUUAGUGCAAUGGCAUAAGCCAGCUUGACUGCGAGCGUGACGGCGCGAGCAGGUGCGAAAGCAGGUCAUAGUGAUCCGGUGGUUCUGAAUGGAAGGGCCAUCGCUCAACGGAUAAAAGGUACUCCGGGGAUAACAGGCUGAUACCGCCCAAGAGUUCAUAUCGACGGCGGUGUUUGGCACCUCGAUGUCGGCUCAUCACAUCCUGGGGCUGAAGUAGGUCCCAAGGGUAUGGCUGUUCGCCAUUUAAAGUGGUACGCGAGCUGGGUUUAGAACGUCGUGAGACAGUUCGGUCCCUAUCUGCCGUGGGCGCUGGAGAACUGAGGGGGGCUGCUCCUAGUACGAGAGGACCGGAGUGGACGCAUCACUGGUGUUCGGGUUGUCAUGCCAAUGGCACUGCCCGGUAGCUAAAUGCGGAAGAGAUAAGUGCUGAAAGCAUCUAAGCACGAAACUUGCCCCGAGAUGAGUUCUCCCUGAGACUUAGAGUCUCCUGAAGGAACGUUGAAGACGACGACGUUGAUAGGCCGGGUGUGUAAGCGCAGCGAUGCGUU
rnacentral:rRNA from 2 species